rnacentral:rRNA from 1 species
GACAGAGGGUGCAAACGUUGUUCGGAUUUACUGGGCGUAAAGCGUGUGUAGGCGGCCCACUAAGUCUGGUGUGAAAUCCCCGAGCUUAACUCGGGAACUGCAUCGGAAACUGGUGGGCUUGAGUCCGGGAGAGGGUAGCGGAAUUCCUGGUGUAGAGGUGAAAUUCGUAGAUAUCAGGAGGAACACCGGUGGCGAAGGCGGCUACCUGGACCGGUACUGACGCUGAGACACGAAAGCGUGGGGAGCAAACAGG